UACAGAGGUCUCAAGCGUUGUUCGGAUUCAUUGGGCGUAAAGGGUGCGUAGGCGGCGCGGUAAGUCGGGGUGUGAAAUCUCGGGGCUUAACUCCGAAACUGCAUUCGAUACUGCCGUGCUUGAGGACUGGAGAGGAGACUGGAAUUUACGGUGUAGCGGUGAAAUGCGUAGAUAUCGUAAGGAAGACCAGUGGCGAAGGCGGGGUCUCUGGACAGUUCCUGACGCUGAGGCACGAAG
rnacentral:rRNA from 1 species